rnacentral:lncRNA from 1 species
GCCGGGGCGAGCCUCUCAUGGACUACUCCAACAUGUGGUAGACCUGAAAUCUAUCCAUCCAUCUAUCCGAUGUACUACUGGAUCGUCUCCAUUUGCUUGCUGGUAGCUAUAGAUGGUUAAUUUGAUUGGUGCUAGCUCGUGGAUUGAUUAGUUGCUUCAUUAACUUUCAAUCAAGGAUCGGGUUAAUUAGGCAGUGGUGAUUCGAGGAGGAUGGUCCAUCGUGUGUUUGUUGAUGCGUGCAAGGCAUAAUGAUGGUCUGCGAGUAGAGGGAGUGCUGAUUAAUCUUAGGCUAAGAUGUGAUAACAAACUACUAGGAUGCAUCUGUAGUUUGUACAUGGUUAGCUGAUUUCUUGCCAUCAUACAGUUUAGCGAUUAGGGGACGAAUUGGAGAGUAGGAGAUAUACUGAGACCGAGUUGAUUCAGAAAUCUGAUUGUGUGUUUAUUGAAAUGAAUUAUCCCCCUUCUAUAUGUUUUAUUUAUUUGAUUGUUGUUUGAUCUUGUAUGUCAAGAUUGAUUUGAGGGUCUUGGUUACUUGACAGUACCGUGUCGAUUAGCCGCGCAUAUUUCCCGAUCCAAUGGUAGAUGUGUUUAAUAAGCUUGCAAAAUGCCGAAAUGGUUUGAAG